GAUGAACGCUGGCGGCGUGCCUAAUACAUGCAAGUCGAACGAACAGAUAAGGAGCUUGCUCCUUUGACGUUAGCGGCGGACGGGUGAGUAACACGUGGAUAACCUACCUAUAAGACUGGGAUAACUUCGGGAAACCGGAGCUAAUACCGGAUAACAUAUUGAACCGCAUGGUUCAAUAGUGAAAGGCGGCUUUGCUGUCACUUAUAGAUGGAUCCGCGCCGUAUUAGCUAGUUGGUAAGGUAACGGCUUACCAAGGCAACGAUACGUAGCCGACCUGAGAGGGUGAUCGGCCACACUGGAACUGAGACACGGUCCAGACUCCUACGGGAGGCAGCAGUAGGGAAUCUUCCGCAAUGGGCGAAAGCCUGACGGAGCAACGCCGCGUGAGUGAUGAAGGUCUUCGGAUCGUAAAACUCUGUUAUCAGGGAAGAACAAAUGUGUAAGUAACUGCGCACAUCUUGACGGUACCUGAUCAGAAAGCCACGGCUAACUACGUG
rnacentral:rRNA from 1 species